rnacentral:rRNA from 1 species
AAUCAACGCUGGCGGCGUGCCUAACACAUGCAAGUCGAACGAGAACGGUUCCUUCGGGGACUCAGUAAAGUGGCGAACGGGUGAGUAACGCGUGGAUAAUCUGCCCUCAAGUGGGGGAUAACUCGGGGAAACCCGGGCUAAUACCGCAUAAGCCCUACGGGGGAAAAGUAUUUAUAUUGCUUGAGGAGGAGUCCGCGUCCGAUUAGCUGGUUGGUGAGGUAAGAGCUCACCAAGGCGACGAUUGGUAGCCGGUCUGAGAGGACGGACGGCCACACUGGAACUGAGACACGGUCCAGACUCCUACGGGAGGCAGCAGUGGGGAAUUUUGGGCAAUGGGGGAAACCCUGACCCAGCAACGCCGCGUGGAGGAAGAAGGUUUUCGGAUCGUAAACUCCUGUCCGGAGGGACGAAGCAAGUGACGGUACCUCUGGAGGAAGCCCCGGCUAACUCCGUG